UCUGCUCUGAUUUAUUUUUUUUUAAGU
rnacentral:piRNA from 1 species